CGAUAUGCGUGAGGGGUAGAAACGGCAUCCUUUUGUGACAAAUAUUAAGUGCUCGUUAAAUGAUUUUUUUCUGGAACAAAAGAUAUAGUGGAUAACCCGACCCUAU
rnacentral:sRNA from 1 species